GACGAACGCUGGCGGCGUGCCUAAUACAUGCAAGUAGAACGCAGUUGCGAACGGGUGAGUAACGCGUAGGUAACUGCCUCAUAGCGGGGGAUAACUAUUGGAAACGAUAGCUAAUACCGCAUACUGUGAGAAUGACCUGCGUUGUAUUAGCUAGUUGGUGAGGUAAAGGCUCACCAAGGCCCAGAUACAUAGCCGACCUGAGAGGGUGAUCGGGCAAGCUGAGAAUUAGGCACUGCCCAGACUCCGACGGGAGGCAGCAGUAGGGAGUCUUCGGAAAUGGCUGGAAGUGUUACCAGGCAACGCCGCGUGAGUGACGAUGAUUUUCGGAACGAGAAGCUCCGUUGUUAGAGAAGCGGUAACUAACCAGAAAGGGACAGCUAACUACGUGCCAGCAGCCGCGGUAAUUC
rnacentral:rRNA from 1 species